rnacentral:rRNA from 1 species
UACGGGGGGGGCAAGCGUUGUUCGGAAUUACUGGGCGUAAAGGGCUCGUAGGCGGCCAACUAAGUCGGAUGUGAAAUCCCCAGGCUCAACCUGGGAACUGCAUCCGAUACUGGAUGGCUUGAAUUUGGGAGAGGGAUGCAGAAUUCCAGGUGUAGCGGUGAAAUGCGUAGAUAUCUGGAGGAACACCGGUGGCGAAGGCGGCAUCCUGGACCGGUAUUGACGCUGAUGCGCGAAAGCCAGGGGAGCAAACGGG